GGCAGAUGAGGCAUCCGUGCCUGAAGAAUAAAGGAGCAAAACAGCAAAUCUAACUGCCACCUGCCCUGCACGGAACGGGAGGCCAGGGAAGGAAUUCUUUCUACCUCGUGUGACAUGACCUCAUGUACAACCAAAACUCCACCUACGGAUUCAUCUUGCCGUGACUGCAGCUGCCUUCACCCGGAAGCACCAUGACGGGUCCUGAGCGAGCCAGGUCUGCUUUCUCGUGUCACUUCCCAG
rnacentral:lncRNA from 1 species